GUGCCAGCCGCCGCGGUAAGACGGAAGGUGCAAGCGUUGCUCGGAAUCACUGGGCGUAAAGGGUGCGUAGGCGGCUGUGUAAGUCUGGCGUGAAAGCCCAGGGCUCAGCCCUGGAAGUGCGCUAGAAACUGCGCGGCUGGAGUGCCGGAGGGGAGAGUGGAAUUCCUGGUGUAGCGGUGAAAUGCGUAGAUAUCAGGAGGAAUACCGGUGGCGAAAGCGACUCUCUGGACGGCAACUGACGCUGAGGCACGAAAGCGUGGGGAGCAAACAGGAUUAGAUACCCCGGUAGUCC
rnacentral:rRNA from 1 species